rnacentral:piRNA from 1 species
UGAGAGCCAUCUUCUGACAGAACAUCUCCCC